rnacentral:misc_RNA from 1 species
GUUGCAAUGAACCACUGAUCUUAAUUUUUGCUGCCAGUAAAGUUCUUAACCUUAUUCCAUAUGGUAGCAUUAUGCUUUGGAGGCAUUUAGUGCCACAAACAAUGUCAUGAACAUCGUGAAGGGAUCAGAUGCAUCAAAUAUUUUUAGCCCCAAAAAAAAAUUCAAAUAUACUUUUGAAGUUACAUUCUAUUUCUUGUAAAUGAAUAUCAGGGUUCUCCAUGGAAUCCU